CACACUUACCUUGAACAAAUUAGAGUGCUCAUCGCGAGGCGUUCAAAAAACGUCCGAAAGGGCGUGGCCCGCAUACAGGUGCAUGGGAUAACAGAAUACGACCUCGGCUCCGGGGUUUCGUCGGUUCACCGGGCCCGCCGACGACCCGGAAGCGUCGGACACCCGCCUCCGGGCGGGCACCGGCGUCUGACGGCGCGGCGGGUCUUUGCGGGGUCCGAGGUAAUGAUCGAUAGGGGCGGACGGGGGCAUCCGUAUUGCGACGUUAGAGGUGAAAUUCUUGGAUCGUCGCAAGACGAACAGCUGCGAAGGCGCUUGUCAAGCACGUUCCCGUUGAUCAAGAACGAAAGUCAGAGGUUCGAAGGCGAUCAGAUACCGCCCUAGUUCUGACCGUAAACUAUGCCAGCUAGCGAUCCGCCGACGAUCCCUCCGUUAUGGCUCGGCGGGCCGCUUCCGGGAAACCAAAGCUAACGGGUUCCGGGGGAAGUAUGGUUGCAAAACUGGAACUUAAAGGAAUUGACGGAAGGGCACCACCAGGAGUGGAGCCUGCGGCUUAAUUUGACUCAACACGGGAAACCUCACCAGGCCCGGACACCGGAAGGAUUGACAGAUUGAGAGUUCUUUCUCGAUUCGGUGGGUGGUGGUGCAUGGCCGUUCUUAGUUGGUGGAGUGAUUUGUCUGGUUAAUUCCGAUAACGAACGAGACCCCGUCCUGCUAGUUAGGCGAUCCGGGCGCCUCCCGCUCUGGGGCGGCGGUUCGUUCGCGGGCCGUCGUUCUCGGACGGGGGGCUCUAAGCCCGGGACCCGGUAUCGUGAUCCGCACCCCGUCCGCCUCUCGGGGCGAGACCCCGUCGGGGCGGCCGUCGGCGCGGUUCGCGCCGUUGUCGGCGGUCGUUUACCGGCGGGAGCAGUGGGUCGGAGGGCCCGGUCCUCUCGGGGGGCCGGACACGCUCGCUACCGGCGGAAUUUUACUCAGCUUCUUAGAGGGACAAACGGCGCAGUCAGCCGUGCGAUACGGAGCGAUAACAGGUCUGUGAUGCCCUUAGAUGUCCUGGGCGGCACGCGUGCUACAAUGGACGGAUCAGCGUGUUCUACCCUACGUCGAGAGACACCGGUAACCCCCUGAAUCCCGUCCGUGGAAGGGACCGGGGCUUGCAAUUGUUCCCCGCGAACGAGGAAUUCCCAGUAGUCGCGAGU
rnacentral:lncRNA from 1 species